rnacentral:lncRNA from 1 species
UGGCGCUGUGAGCAGACGUUGAACUCGCCUUCUCCCACGAACACAAUCAGGUUACAACAAUUUUGGGAAGAAUCACCCUGGAUUGAAAACUGAAAGCUGGAUAAAAAGAACCCCCAUGACAAGCGACAGUCCUGACGAAAGCAGAAGAGGCAGUAACUCUGGCCGAAGAGGAAAAAAGCCACCUUUGGGAGCAGCGGAGCUUCUCAGCUGGCCAGGCGGGAGCCAACCUAAGUUGUUAAGCUGAACUUUGGAAGCACCUGAGACUUAACAAAAACAAGAGAGAAUACUGAAAAUGGAAAUUUUGCACAGAAUUAAGAUGGACUUUCACCUUAGAUUUGGCAAAAGGGAUUCUGGAGGUUCCAGGACCUAGAAGAACACAACUUGUUGCUAACAAAACCUUAUUGUCAUUUCCAAAAUAAGAACAAUAAACAGGAACUUCAAGGCAGGCAAUUAAAAUUUAAUUUGUCCUAUGAUGAAAAGUAAAUCCUUUUAUCCUGUGUCCGAAGUCUGAAGAGGUACAGACUCUAUUACAAAAUGAGACUGUGGCUGAAGGUUUCUUGGGCCCUCAUGACCCUGUGAUGUGAAAUGAUAAUAAUCCAAUCAAAGGAUUGCCAUAAAAAAGUCUGCACAUAAACGAUCGUGAGAGGAAAGACAAUGUCCAAGAGAAAGGGGUUGUUGGUCAUGCUCUACAUUAAACUUUUCAGAUGAAAGCUUCAUUUUUAUUUUUUGCAAUAGAG